AGCAGCCGCGGUAAUUCCAGCUCCAAUAGCGUAUAUUAAAGUUGUUGCAGUUAAAAAGCUCGUAGUUGAAUUUCGGGAUUAAUAUGUUGGUCGUGCCUUGGUACGUACUGGCAUUAUUGAUUCCUACCUUCUGAAGAACCUCGAUGUCAUUAAUUUGGUGUCUUGGGGAAUCAGGACCGUUACUUUGAAAAAAUUUAGAGUGUUUAAAGCAGGCUCGCGCUUGAAUACAUUAGCAUGGAAUAAUGAAAUAGGACGUUUGAUUCUAUUUUGUUGGUUUCUAGGAUCGACGUAAUGAUUAAUAGGGAUAGUUGGGGGCAUUAGUAUUCAAUUGUCAGAGGUGAAAUUCUUGGAUUUAUUGAAGACUGACUACUGCGAAAGCAUUUGCCAAGGAUGUUUUCAUUAAUCAAGAACGAAAGUUAGGGGAUCGAAGACGAUCAGAUACCGUCGUAGUCUUAACCAUAAACUAUGCCGACUAGGGAUCGGAUGAUGUUAAUUUUUUAAUGACUCAUUCGGCGCCUUA
rnacentral:misc_RNA from 1 species